UUGGGUAAAUUCUAAGUUUUGAAGGAUUUGUAAGAAGUGUUUGAGGAACUGACUUCGUGUUAAACGUUGAAUCAGUUCCUCAAACAUUUCUUACAAACCUUCACUAAAA